rnacentral:lncRNA from 1 species
GCCUUGAGUCCCGUCCAAAAGGUGUCGGACAUGCCCAGCGGUGUCUCCAUCAUCUCCCCUGCCUCGGUCUUCUGCUUGAGCAGUCUCUUAUACUCGCUCAUGUUGUCACUGUACCUUUUGCGGGCCUUGUCUAACCACAUUUUUUUCACAUCAGCCUCAUCCUCAGGGUUCCAAGUAAACUCUUUCUGUUGAAUAUAUUGGUGAAAUUAAUAUAACAUUUUAACAAUAUAUAAUGCUAAAUUUAUAUAUAGUAGAAAUUCAUUUACCUUGAAUUCCUCAAAAUACAAGUCCUGCACCGUUGGCGGAGUUAACUUCCACGUGUACC